rnacentral:rRNA from 1 species
GCGUGCUUAACACAUGCAAGUCGAACGAGCCUUCGGGCUAGUGGCGCACGGGUGAGUAACGCGUAAGUAAUCUACCCUGGUAUCUGGGAUAACCCACCGAAAGGUGUGCUAAUACCGGAUACGCUGAUUUAUCAGGAAAGGUGGCCUCUUCAUGAAAGCUACUGUACCAGGAGGAGCUUGCGUACCAUUAGCUAGUUGGUAGGGUAAUGGCCUACCAAGGCGACGAUGGUUAGCGGGUCUGAGAGGAUGAUC